AAGGCAUGUUUAGGGAAAGGCUUGCAGUUUAAAAGAAAGGAAAAUAAAGAAAACAGGCAUAGAUUUAUUUACUUGAAACUGAUCAACUUUAAAAAUGCAUCAAUGUGCAAGAUGUUCAAAUGCAACAUUUUUAAUAGAAAAACAAAAACAACUUUUUAUGUCUUCAGGUGUAUGGGUGUGUUGCUAUUAUUAAUCGAGCAGAAGUUGACCCCAGAGAUGUGCUGGUGGACCGGUGGCCAGAUUUCAGUGUGCUACUUGUUAAACCAAAACCGCAGCAGAAACCAGACUUUUAUAGAGAUGUAAGCGUUUUUACUAAGGACGAAUCAUGUCUCAGGAACAUACUAACCAGGACUGGAGGAUCCAUCCAACCUUCCAGCUGACAGGUUAUCUAUUCGAGUCUCAUCAGUCAAGGAGUCUCAUGUUGCUCUGAUCAACAGCACAUGGAAGUUUGGCAAGGGUGAAUUCACUGAGCCCAUGGUCAGGAGCAUGAUCUUGAAUUACCCUUCAUGUUGUGUACUUGACUCAGAGGGUCAGCCGGUGUCAUGGAUAUUGACCUAUUCUAGCUGUGCGAUGGGUAUGCUGUACACAAUGCCAGAGCACAGACGGAAAGGCUACUCCAAAGCCCUGAUCACCAUAUUGGCAAAGAAACUGCAUUCAGAGGGCUAUCCAGUGUACUGCUUCAUCGAGGAGGAGAACCAGUUGUCCUACAGGCUCUUUAAAGGUUUAGGCUUCACUGAGGAUCUGUCUUAUAUGAAUUCUUGGUUUUACGUCAAUCAGUAGUCUAUGACUCCAUAAGAGGUUUGGGACAAGGAACAUUCCUGUCAUGAUUGCACGAUUGAAGGGGGUGUUCAGCACACAUUCACUAUCUUAUCCACACGUACCCCAUGACUGGUUGGCCGUCCCGUCCUCCUUUAUCAUAUCAUUGUUCUUGCAUUAUGUAAAGCAAAUAAAACCAUGAGAAAACAACUCAGUGUUUAUUAUGUUGUUAGUUUUUAAUGUUCUCUGUAAACUAACAGACAAAUUGUUGAAAAAAUGUAUCAUUAUAUCUCAGUUUUAAAAGUUGACCUGUUUCUCCCAUUUACAGAAACCAGACUUUUUUUUCUCUUUUUUUAAUGAUGUGAGCGUUUUUACUAAGGACAAAUCAUGUCUCAGGAACAUACUAACCAGGACAGACGUUCUAGACUGGAAGCAGUUCAUUAGUCUAAGUAUUAAUUUCGAACUUCUUAUUACAGCAGUAUAAACACUGGCAACCCGCUAAUAUCUGUGUUAUAUCUACAUAUCUAUAAUAUGUCAAUCCAUUAGGCGUCAUAGGCAGCCACCUCUGGGGCGCAGCCCUGCCGAAUCCGAUUAAAAUACCGAGCCACAUUUAACGGCAACUAGGGGGCGCCAACAAACCAAUUUGACCAAACAAACCUUUCUGAGAUAAUAAGACAUGAGCAAUUAUUAGCUCAGAAAUGUUUGUUUGGUCAAAUUGGUUUGUUGGCGCCCCCUAGUGCCGAUGUAAAUAAGAGUCAUCUACACUCUUAGAAAAAAAAAGGCUAUAUUGUAUAAUUAUUAAGGGUUCUUAGCUUCCACAUUAGGUUCUGCUUGGCACCCUAUCUGAUAGGGAAACACUGUUGUAGGGUUCUACAUAGAACCUUUAAGGGUUUCAUCUAUGGAUGUAAAAUAAUGAUACGUCUUUGAAACAAAAAAGCAUGUUGAAUUGCAUUUUAAUGCAUUGUAUUUACAGUGCUUGCAUUCUUGGGAGCUGCGAUUCAACAUGGUAUAUUUAAGCUGUGAAUAUUUCAAUUGGAAACGUUUCACACUGUGAUUAUUAAAAAUUCAAAAAUCAAUAUUCACCUUCCAAAGUUCAUGUCACGUCACGACAAACUAGCGACUCCAUUUCCCAGAGCGCGACGCAAACUACAAACAUGGCCGACGACUACAACUCCCAAAAUUACACACAGACACGUCACCUUCUCCUGAGGACUAAUCACACACACCUGUUUCCAAUCACACGCGCACUCACACCACCCUUUAAAAGUGACUGCUCACUCACUGUGUCUUUAGUAAAAAUAAUAUGUUCAGUUGCUUUUGACCUUGAUCGCAGUGUCAGCUGCUCUAGCCGCUGUACCGGAUCGUCUGACUGCUACCUGUAUUUGUUGUUGUUUUUGCCAUACCCUCUGGAUUAUAAACUCUCCAUGAACACUCAUAACUGCGAUUGCAUCCACCUCAAGCAUCCAUUACAUGACCGUUCCUUUCCAAAAUAUUCAGUUUGUUUAAAAAUACCACCAAUAAUAUUCGACAGGCAGAUUUUGGUCCAUUUCAUUUUGCUUCCACAAAUCCAGUAGUUCAAAUUCGGUUGGAUAUUCCAGAUUGCAAAUCCAGGAAUUGUAGGAAAAGCAGAAGAGUACCGAUGCAAAAUCUCUACCUGCUGCUAGUCCGCCUUAUCGACAGGUGGUGUUGAAGACCAAAGCAACGCCUAGAGCUAAGCCUUCAAAAUUUGAUUUGCCGAAAUGGACCAAGCGGUAAAUUCAAGUUAUGAAUUUUAAAAAAAGAAAGCUGAUUAAAACACAAAAGCAGCAUUUACGUUUAUGUUCAAAGUCUUCGUUUGAUUCCUCAGGAAACCGUUGCUCUACCUGUUACUUUGGACUUUGCCGUUCUUUUUGAGGGUGUGGGGAUACUUUGACCUGCUUUCACCUUUUUUUCUGGUGACAAAAUUGUACACUGUAGAUACGCAGCUUUGCCAGAGGCCAUAAUCACACAAUCAUGUUGAUGUUGGACCGUAGCAGAACCUCUGUAGCAGUGGGGGAACAGGAAAUCCAGAGCACCUUGACAUAAGCAUGACCAAACCACCUUUGAUGCACACCACUGGAAAAGGUCUCAAGAAAUUGAAAAACUCUGUAUAUUUAUUUUGUUCUUGUUUUUUGUCUUCAGAUAGAUGGAUAUGUUUGUGUAAUUAAUAGAAUAGACGCUGACCCCAUAGAUGUUCUGGUGGACCAGUGGCUGAAUUUCAGUGUGCCACUCAUCUGACCAAAAUGGCAGCAGGUUGAAGAUGACUUCAAUAUGUAACUGAUUUUGGCUUAAUGUAUAAUAUGCUGCACUGAAAGAACGGACAAAGUGUAACUAACCUUUAGUUUUUCGUUGACCUGUUUCUCUCACAUACAGAAAUCAGACCUUUUUAAAGUCAUAAACAUUUUUACUAAGGAUGAAACAACUUUCAGGAACAUACUGGUCGGAACAGACAUUCCUGACUGGAAGCAGUAACUCUAUCUAAGUAUUAAUUUCUCAGACCUCUCUUUAUGCCAUUUUAAGAGCCUCCUAAUAAUCAGUGUCACACAAAACAAAGAAGUCAUUCUCCUACGUUCAAUUUGUCAAGAAUUUAGACAUUCUCCUUUAGAUUCCUCCAGUUGAAUAGGUUAAUUUAACUCUGAAACUUAUAAAACAUCUGUUCAGGUGUUGAUCUGUGCCACAAGUGGAUGCUAAAGUUUGUAGCAGCCAGCAGAAGCGUGCCAAUGAGAAAAGAUCAUGUGUGUUACAUGAUGAAACUGCAAAAUCCAUCUAAUCUUACAACUGAAAGGUCACUUUCAGUUGUUGUGUGCUGGACUCAGAGGGUCAGCCGGUGUCAUGGAUAUUGAGCUAUGCUUCCUGUGCGAUGGGAAUGCUGUACACAAUGCCGGAGCACAGACGGAAAGGCUACGCCAAAGCCCUGGUCACCACAAUGGCAAAGAAACUGCAUUCAGAGGGCUACCCAGUGUACUGCUUCAUUGAGGAGGAGAACCAGUUGUCCUACAGGCUCUUUACCAGUUUAGGUUUCACUAUGGAUCCGUCUUACAGGACUGCUUGGAUUAAGUUUAAUUAAUCAUGUUAGUUUAUUUAGAUUUUAUUCAGUUUUAUACAAAUGCUUCCCUCACCAUUCUAUAAGCUUUACCUGGUAUCACAACGUUGAAUUAUUUUGAAGGGACCAUGCUAAUCUGAGUAGUUGUUAAAGUGUUUGUAAAACAUAUAACAAAUAAAAUGACAUGAAAAACAAUAUGCUGAAGUCAAAUCUGUUCAUAAUUGCAUGUUUUCCUGGUGCACCUAGACCUGGCUGGAACGUCUGUAUGGUUUCUGCAAUGCAGCUUUGUUCUAUCCUC